rnacentral:rRNA from 1 species
CCUACGGGUGGCAGCAGUGAGGAAUAUUGGUCAAUGGACGAGAGUCUGAACCAGUCAAGUCGCGUGAAGGAUGACUGCCCUAUGGGUUGUAAACUUCUUUUAUAUGGGAAUAAAAUGUUCCACGUGUGGGAUUUUGUAUGUACCAUAUGUAUAAGGAUCGGCUAACUCCGUGCCAGCCGCCGCGGUAAUACGGAGGAUCCGAGCGUUAUCCGGAUUUAUUGGGUUUAAAGGGAUCGUAGGUGGAUUGUUAAGUCAGUUGUGAAAGUCUGCGGCUCAACCGUGGAAUUGCAUUUGAUACUGGCAGUCUUGAGUACAGUAGAGGUGGGCGGAAUGCGUGGUGUAGCGGUGAAAUGCUUAGAUAUCACGAAGAACACCGAUUGCGAAGGCAGCUCACUGGACUACAACUGACACUGAGGCGCGAAAGUGUGGGUAGCAAACAGGAUUAGAUACCCGAGUAGUC